UACGGAGGGUGCAAGCGUUAUCCGGAUUUAUUGGGUUUAAAGGGUCCGUAGGCGGACUAUUAAGUCAGUGGUGAAAGCCCUCUGCUCAACAGAGGAACUGCCAUUGAUACUGAUAGUCUUGAGUACGAGUGAAGCUGGCGGAAUGUGCAGUGUAGCGGUGAAAUGCUUAGAUAUUGCACAGAACACCAAUUGCGAAGGCAGCUGGCUAACUCGAAACUGACGCUGAGGGACGAAAGUGUGGGGAUCAAACAGG
rnacentral:rRNA from 1 species